CCUGCCCUUCAGAGGGGGACAACAGUUGGAAACGACUGCUAAUACCGCAUACGAUCUAACCUCGGCAUCGAGGAUAGAUGAAAGGUGGCCUCUAUUUAUAAGCUAUCACUGAAGGAGGGGAUUGCGUCUGAUUAGCUAGUUGGAGGGGUAACGGCCCACCAAGGCGAUGAUCAGCAGCCGGUCUGAGAGGAUGAACGGCCACAUUGGGACUGAGACACGGCCCAG
rnacentral:rRNA from 1 species